AUUGAACGCUGGCGGCAGGCCUAACACAUGCAAGUCGAGCGGUAGAGAGAAGCUUGCUUCUCUUGAGAGCGGCGGACGGGUGAGUAAUGCCUAGGAAUCUGCCUGGUAGUGGGGGAUAACGUUCGGAAACGAACGCUAAUACCGCAUACGUCCUACGGGAGAAAGCAGGGGACCUUCGGGCCUUGCGCUAUCAGAUGAGCCUAGGUCGGAUUAGCUAGUUGGUGAGGUAAUGGCUCACCAAGGCGACGAUCCGUAACUGGUCUGAGAGGAUGAUCAGUCACACUGGAACUGAGACACGGUCCAGACUCCUACGGGAGGCAGCAGUGGGGAAUAUUGGACAAUAGGGCGAAAGACCUGAUCCAGCCAUGCCGCGUGUGUG
rnacentral:rRNA from 1 species